UUAAAUGCAUUGAUUGGGGAAAGUACCCUGUAGUACGCUUCCAGGGAGACCGUGCCGUGACUGAAAGCCGGUUAAGCGAAAAGCAGGUGAAGUUCCCCCAGGAGCAGCAGGCUGAAGUUAGUGGUUAGUGUAUCAGGGAACCUUUGAUCACUGCCCGCUAAUCAGUAAUGAGUAGGCUGAGCCGGUUUCUUCCACCGUUAGCGGGAAGGCAGUAUCAGGUUUUUCGUACCUCGUACUGAUCAAGUGAAUCUAAAGUUAUUUAGAUUAAUGUGGGUGGUACCGCGGAAGUAAGCUUUCGUCCCUAGG
rnacentral:ncRNA from 1 species